UGAACACACACACAUGCGUGCAUAUG
rnacentral:piRNA from 1 species